AGUGAACGCUGGCGGUAGGCCUAACACAUGCAAGUCGAACGGCAGCACAGUAAGAGCUUGCUCUUACGGGUGGCGAGUGGCGGACGGGUGAGGAAUACAUCGGAAUCUACUUUUUCGUGGGGGAUAACGUAGGGAAACUUACGCUAAUACCGCAUACGACCUACGGGUGAAAGCAGGGGAUCUUCGGACCUUGCGCGAUUGAAUGAGCCGAUGUCGGAUUAGCUAGUUGGCGGGGUAAAGGCCCACCAGGGCGACGAUCCGUAGCUGGUCUGAGAGGAUGAUCAGCCACACUGGAACUGAGACACGGUCCAGACUCCUACGGGAGGCAGCAGUGGGGAAUAUUGGACAAUGGGCGCAAGCCUGAUCCAGCCAUACCGCGUGGGUGAAGAAGGCCUUCGGGUUGUAAAGCCCUUUUGUUGGGAAAGAAAAGAAGCAGGUUAAUACCCCGCUGUUCUGACGGUACCCAAAGAAUAAGCACCGGCUAACUUCGU
rnacentral:rRNA from 1 species